GCCAUGAUUCAGCAGCCACUCCAGGGUGUGACGAGUCUACGUUUCAACCAAGACCAAAGUUGCUUUUGCUGUGCCAUGGAGACAGGCGUACGCAUCUAUUAUGUGGAGCCACUGAUGGAAAAGGGACAUCUGGACGAGGAGCAGGUAUGGGCAGCAUAGGCCUGGCAGAGAUGCUGCACAGCUCCAACCUGUUGCCCCUGGUGGGCAAUGGUGGCAUCCCCAAAUUCGCAGAGAUCUCAGUGCUAAUCUGGGAUGAUGCCGGAGAAGGCAAGGACUCCAAGGACAAACUGGUACAGGAAUUCACCUUCACGGAAACAAAUGUUAGCUGUGUGCAUGCGCCAUGACGUACUGCAGGCCCGCAUCUAUUUGUUCCCCUUCCCUGACAAUCCUCGAAAGCUGUUUGAAUUUGACACUUGGGACAACCCCAAGCUGUGUGACCUCUGCCCCAGCCUGGAAAAGUAACUACUUGUGUUCCUUGGACACAAGUGUGGAAGUCUGCAACCUGUGGACCUGGCACGAACAAAGCCUGGGACUUCAUUGGCUCCAUUCACCAUCAAAGCACAUCAGUGAUGUGGCCUGUGUGUCCCUGAACCAGCCAGGCGCCUCAGCCCUCCGGAAGGGUACUCUUAUUCAACUUUUUGACACCCAGUCCAAGGGAAAACUGGUGGAGUUGUGCAGAGAUACUGACUCUGCCAUCCUAUACUGCAUUAACUUCAGCCUCAACUCCUCCUUCCACCAUGCUUCCAGUGAUAAGGGCACUGUCUAUACCUUUGCUCUGAAGGAUACUUGCCUCAAAUGCCAUUGUGUGCUGGCUUGCCUGGGCAAGGUGGGGCCUAUGAUUGGGCAGUACAUGGAUUCUCAGUGGAGCCUGGCUAGCUUUACUGUGCCUGCCGAGUCGGCCCAUAUCUUCACCUUUGGUUGCAAUACUUUCAAGAACAAUUCUGUAAUUGUCAUCUGCAUUGAUGGGACCUUCCAUAAAUGUCUUCACUCCUGAUGGAAACUGCAACAGAGUCAUUCAACAUAUAGCUUGACAUCUGUGCCAAUGAUGAAGAACCCUAG